CCCUUAGAUGUUCGGGGCCGCACGCGCGCUACACUGAAGGAAUCAGCACGUCUUUCUCCUUGUCCGAAAGGACUGGGUAACCCGCUGAACCUCCUUCGUGCUAGGGAUUGGGGCUUGUAAUUCUUCCCCAUGAACGAGGAAUUCCCAGUAAGCGCGAGUCAUAAGCUCGCGUUGAUUACGUCCCUGCCCUUUGUACACACCGCCCGUCGCUACUACCGAUUGGAUGGUUUAGCGAGAUCCUCGGAUUGGUCCCGGAGCGGCCUCUGGUCGUGCCGGAGUGCCGAAAAGAAUGUCGAACUUGAUCAUCUAGAGGAAGUAAAAGUCGUAACA
rnacentral:rRNA from 1 species